rnacentral:snRNA from 1 species
AUCGCUUCUCGGCCUUUUGGCUCAGAUCAAGUGUAGUAUCUGUUCUUAUCAGUUUAAUAUCUGAUACGUCCCCCAUCGGGGGACUACAUAUUAAUGGAUUUUUCGAACAGGGAGUCGGAAAUGGGGCUUGCUCCGUCCGCUCCACGCAUCGACCCGGUAUUGCAGUACCUCCGGGAACGGUGCAACACUU